rnacentral:lncRNA from 1 species
CAUUUCUUUGGCAGCAGGCUUGAAAAAACAGAGAGACAAGAGACAAAGAGAGACAGAGACAGAGAGGGGAAUGAAACGUUGAACCAAGUGACCCCUGCACUUCUCUAAGGUCACUUAGAGAAGUUCAGACCCACUGGGUCUUGCUGUGGAUGGGGAGGAGGAAGUGGCAUGUCACCUUCACCCACAGGAAGCUCUGCCUUCUUCCCCCUCAGUCUAACAGGAACUGUGAAUGCCUUCUCUGGGUGAGUUGCACACCUGCGUGAUCAGGAGGGGAACACCACCCCUGAGAGGAAGGCCAGGGCUGGACCAUCCCCAGGCUGACAGAGGCGAGAAAUGUGUGCCAGGGCCUGGCUUGUCCCCUUUGCUGGCUGAGCAGCUUUGAGGUUUUCUAUGCUCAGGAUACCAUCCAAUAUCUCAGUCCAUUUCCUGUUGCCUGCAAGAUGUAGGACUCUGAGCUACUCCUCCAACACCGCAUCUGCCUCCAUGCCACCAUGCUCCCCGCCAUGAUGAUAAUGGACUGAACCUCUGAAACUAUAAACAAGCC